GACGAACGUUGGCGGCGUGCUUAAUACAUGCAAGUCCACUGAAGCAGUGGUAGCAAUAUCGCUGUGGAGGUGGCGCACGGGUGAGUAACACGUAGGUAAUCUGCCUUCAGGUCUGGCAUAACUCCGGGAAACCGGGGCUAAUAGCAGAUGAUGCAGCGGCUCGACAUCGAGACAGUUGUUAAAGCUAUGGCGCCUGAAGAUGAGCCUGCGUCUGAUUAGCUAGUUGGCGGGGUAACGGCCCACCAAGGCAACGAUCAGUAGCUGGUCUGAGAGGAUGAUCAGCCACACUGGAACUGAGACACGGUCCAGACUCCUACGGGAGGCAGCAGUAAGGAAUAUUGCUCAAUGGGAGAAAUCCUGAAGCAGCAACGCCGCGUGAGGGACGAAGGGCUUUUGCUUGUAAACCUCUGUAGUGAGAGAAAAAAAUCCCAAUCUUUGGAACAUGAUGGUAUCUCAAAAGUAAGCCCCGGCUAACUACGUG
rnacentral:rRNA from 1 species